UCGAUGAAGAACGCAGCGAAAUGCGAUAAGUAAUGUGAAUUGCAGAAUUCAGUGAAUCAUCGAAUCUUUGAACGCACCUUGCGCCCUUUGGCUAUUCUGAAGGGCAUGCCUGUUUGAGUAUCAUGAACACCUCAACUCCUCAUGGUUUGCCAUGAUGAGCUUGGACUUUGGGGGUCUUGCUGGCCUAUGGUUGGCUCCUCUCAAAUGGAUCAGCUUGCCAGUGUUUGGUGGCAUCACAGGUGUGAUAAAUAUCUACGCUUGUGGUUUCCACCAUAUAGCCUUCAGCGAUGAAGGCUCUCUGGAGCUCACAAAUGUCCCUCCUCAGCGAGGACAGCUUUUGAACAUUUGAUCUCAAAUCAGGUAGGAUUACCCGCUGAACUUAA
rnacentral:rRNA from 1 species